rnacentral:lncRNA from 1 species
CCCAAUACCCCUAGGCUUCCCCCACUCACGUGGAUUCCCUUUUCUUAACCAAUUCACGAAAAGACAAAAAAGAGAUAUACAGAUGGACACUAACACAACAAUACAGAGAAGGGGGGGACCUUUCCAUUUUUAGAAUUCAAUUCACUAACACACGGUGGAAUCCUCACACUCCAUUUUUCCAUAUAUACAUUGAUUCCUUCAUCUCCAGAUAUACAUACGUACACCUGACCACACUCUCAAAGAGAACACAUACUACACACAGAGAAUAGAGGGCCUUUGUUGAAGACGCCAUUUUCCUUUCCUUUUUCUUCUUUGCACACACCCAAUUUAUAUACACAUUGGACACGCUAUACAUACAUAUUCACUCUCAUUAUCUAUACCUCACGGAUUCCACACCUGAGGAGAAGCUCCAUUUUUGUUUUCAAUUCAAAGAGAGCUAUGAACACACGGAUCACAACAUUCACACACACGAGACAUACAUACUCACAGAUAGCAACGCAGAAGAGGGACCUCCAUUUUUCUUAUUAUUCACUGGAUUCCAUUCACAAAAUCACACACCCAAUCGGAGAAAACCAGUGAGGGUGAACGGAGAGAGAAGGUGAGGAUGGUGGCUUGAGAGAGAAGCAAAACUCGAGAAAAAAAAAAAGAAAUAUUGGGAAAUCGUGGAGGAUGAACGAAAUCCAGCCAGUGUUGAUUUUUACGGCGAAUUUCUCGCCGGAAAAAUUCACUUUUCGUCACCGCCGACUUAAAUCUGUUUCUCGUCGCCAGAAAACAAGAACCAAAAGCCAAUUCCUCAUCGAAUUCGGCCUGUUUGAUUCGAUUUCCGCGAAGUUCUCUCAUACGGUUUUGGGUUUUAUCACGAUUCCUGUUCCGGGUGCUCGUGGGUACGUUUUGGAUUCCUGUUCAACUCAUACUUUGGGAUUUUCAUGAUCGAGUUGGCUCGCAGUUGAGAUAUUGGUACCCGUUGAGGUUAUUGGACGCGGAUUCUACCGGGAUAAUCGGAAUAUUACAUCGAUUUUGAAAGCGGUAUUGAGGUCUAAUUCUAUCUUCUCUCCCUUUAAUUUCUACGUGAAUGUGAAUAAUUUGUUGUUUGACAUGUUUGAAUCUUUGUUGUGUGUUGGUUGAUGUUAGAUUUGAAUGUGAAAACAUGGAUUGGUAGUCUAAGAAUUGAUUAAUUAUUUUGAGAAUGAAUUCGGGAUGGGGUUGGUUUUGAUGGAAGAGUAAGGUUAGUUAUUUUGAUUCAUUGAAGAUUAUUUAAUUCAGAAUAAGUGUUGAUGUUGUUAAACGCAAUAACAUCAUGAUGGAUUGAAAUUGAUAGGCAAACAGUAGGCUACCCAGUAGGCUCGGGUAGGCAAAUUUAGGAAUGGUGUUUUGUUGAAUGUUUGAAUGUGAGUGUAAAUGGUUCUUUUUACUUUAUCGCAAACUGAAAGUGUAAUCAUUUAGUCGGGGAAUGCCCUGAUGUCAUUUGUACUUAUUCAUCGAGGAAUACCCUGACGUAUUAUGUAUGCAAAGGAGGUUAGUGAUCAAGGCCCGAGACAUCUGGUAAAGUUUCAUACUAGCUGAUAUACUUCAUAAAGUGACCGUGAUCGAACCAUGGGUCCGAGGGAUGCCUAACACCUUCCUUUCGGUCAACAAAAUUCCUUAUCCGGAAUCUCUGUUCGCGGAUCAGUUUUAAAGUCAAAUCAUUUUGAAAAAGGAUUUUCAAAGGUGAGAUGACACACCCGAUUUAUGUCAAGUGGAGACUCUGAGUUAAUCGUAAAAUGAAUCUUUUUUGAAAUAAAAUUUUUAUUUUUUAUCAGUUUAAUAAUAAAAACUUUUUUCAAACUUCAAAAUAAAUAUCUUCUUGGUCAAAAAAGGGGUGUGAUAGAGGGGGUGGGGGUGGAGAGAAGGGAUUAAACUUUAGAAAAUCCUAAGCAAAAAGGUAUACGAAAUCACUUGAUGUUAUCUUUAUAUUCUCUAUUAUAUGUUAAUCGUACUCAAAUUAAAAUAGAAAAAAAAUAUUUAUUGUGCAUAACAUGCUAUGUAAAUGUGAAUGGGCAGGUACAUUUUUGAGUUUCUCUAUAUAAGAAACAAAUUCUCGUCAUUUUUCUUCAACUUAGGGUCUUGAUUUCCACCCACUAAAAUUAUUUCUUACUAAGCUAUUUUCUAUAUUUUUAGAUGUUGUUUUAGCUAAGGCCCGUCUACUCUCCUCUCACAAAAUAUCAUUAACUUUUUUUUUACGUACAUCUUUGAAUUUCUUAAGAUUUUCUUAAUUCUAUCCCAUUUUGAUUUUGUAAUUAACUAGAUAUAAUUAUUAUAUGGAUCUUAAAUGGAUGAUAACAAUAAGUGUUUAGGAGUGGUUAUAAUAAAUUGUGGCCUUGAUAGAUCUAGUAACGUUGUAACCCCUAAUUCAGUCUGAGUCUUUAAAUUUGAUGUUGUCAAAAGUAUUGAUCAUAUGAUUUUCAAAUUUAGAGACUCAGAUACUAAAUUACGGGCUACAAUGUCACUAGGUCUACAAAUGCCACAAUUUCUUAUAACCGCGCCUAAACCCUCAUGUUAUCAUCCAUUUCAGAUCUAUAUAAAAAGAAAUUAUAUUUAGUUAGUUACAAAAUAAAAAUUGGAUAGCAGUAAGAAACACAUAAGAAAUUCAAAGAUGUACUUAUAUAAAAAGCAAAUGAUAUUUUGUGAGAAGGGAGUGGAGGGGUCUUAGCAAAAACAACAUCUAAAAAUGGAGAAAAUAGCUUAGUAAGAAGAUGAUUUGAGUGGGUAGAAAAUUCAAGAUCUGAGAUGAAAAAAAAUGACGGAAAUUUGUUUAUUAUUUAAAGAAACUCAAAAGGGUAGCUACCCAUCCUGCACAUCUACAUUCACUUAGCAGGUAAUGCAUAUAAAGUAUUUUCUUUCUAUUUUAGGGUGAGUACGAUUGACAUAUACUAGAGAAGAUAAAAAUAAUAUUAAGUAAUUUCGGGUACCUUUAUACUUAGGAUAUUCAAAACUUUAAUCCCUUCUCCCCCCUCCCCCUACCACACACAUCCAUACUAGCGAUACUAAUAAGUCUUUAGAUCAAAUAGUCAAAUUGAUAUAAAAUGUUAUAUGUAGUUAGUUACAAAAUGAAAAUGGGAUAGAAGUAACAAAGAUUAAGAAAUUCAAAGAUGUACUUAUUGAAAAAUCUAAUGAUAUUUUGUGAGAGGGGAGUGGAGGAGCCUUAGUGAAAACAACAACAUCUAAAAAUAGAGAAAAUAGCUUAGUAGAAAAAUGAUUUGAGUUGGUGAAAAAUUCAAGACCCAAAUAUGAAGAAAAAUGACAAGAAUUUAUUUAUUAUAAAGAGAAACUCAAAGGCGUACCUACCCAUUUUGCACAUCCACAUUCAUUUAGUAUAUAAUGCACAUUAAAUAUUUUCUUUCAGUUUUAGGGUGAGUAUUGUAUAUACUGGAGAAGAUAAAAAUAAUAUCAAUUAAUUUUGUGUACCUUUUUGCUUAGGAUUUUCAAAAGCUUAAUUCCUGACCCCCCCCCCCCCUCCCCCACUCACACACAUCUAAAUUCGCGAUACUAAUAAGUCUUAAGGUCCAAUAGUCAGAUCUAUAUAAAAAAUAAUAUCUAGUUAGUUACCAAACGAAAAUGGGAUAGAAGUAAAAAAGAAAACUUAAGAAAUUCAAAGUUGUGCCUAUAGGAGAACCUAAUUAUAUUUUGUGAGGGGAGUGGAGGGGCCUUAGCAAAAACAACAUCUAAAAAUGAAGAAAAUAGCUUAGUAAGAUAAUUAUUUGAGUAGGUGGAAAAUUAAAGAUCCUGAGAUGAAGAAAAUGAGUAGAUUUUGAUUAUUAUAAAGAGAAACUCAAAGGCGUACUUACCCACCGUGCACAUCCAUAUUCACUUAGCUUCUAAUACAUAUUAAAAAUUUUCUUUCUGUCUUAGGAUGAGUACGAUUGGCUUAUACUAGAGAAGAUAAAAAUACUAGCAAGUAAUUUUGUGAACUUUUUUGCUUAGGAUUUUCAAAAGUUUAAUCUCUUUCCACCUCCCCCCAACCAUACGCAUCCAUAUUCGCAAUACUAAUAAGUCUUAAGGUCGAAUAGCCAGAUCUAUAUAAAAAAUUAUAGCUAGUUAGUUACAAAAUGAAAAUGGGAUAAAAGAAAGAAAACCAUAAGAAAUUCAAAGAUGUACUUCUAAAAAAGCUAAUGAUAUUUUGUGAGAGGAGAGUGGAGGGGAAUUACCGAAAACAACAUCUAAAAAUAGAGAAAAUAAUUUAGUAAGAAAAUGAUUUGAGUGGGUGGAAAAUUCAAGACCCUGAGAAGAAGAUAAAAUACGAGAAUUUGUUUAUUGUAUAGAGAAACUCAAAAGCGUACCCACCCAGCCCUGCACAUCCACAUUCACUUAUCAUGUAAUGCACAUUAAAUAUUUUCUUUCUUUUUUCGGGUGAGUACGCCUACAAUACCCUUAAUCUUUGCAUCUCUCAUAGUUCUCCAAGUCCCCUAGCACGAAACCUUUGUACCCCUCGUCGUUCAAAUGUUUAUGGAAAUAGAACUACCACUUCUUGUUAAUGAGGGUAUCCUUAACCAACACUGUACCAUCCUUCCCCUUGAUGCACUUCACUUGGUUAAGGUCACGAGCCCUUCUCUCCCUAGCCUUGGCAAGCCUAUACAACUUCUUAUCCCCGCUUUUCUUCUCUAAAGAUUCAUACAAGCUCUAAAAAACUAUUUGAUUAGCCAUUGUAACCGCUAACUUAGCCUCUCUUCUGGCUACCUUGUACUCCUCCCUAUUCGCCUUCCUCUCGUCAUUAUCCUUGCUCUUAAACAACUUAGCGUAAGCCACCUUCUUAAUCUCCAUUUUCCUUUUAACUUCUUUGUUUCACCAGCAGUCCCCCCGGUACUUUCCAGAUCAGCCUUUCGAGAUACCCAACACCUCUCUAGUGGUCUCUCUAAUGCAACGGGCAGUCGUUUUCUACAUACUAUCCACAUCCCCUCUACUCUCCCAAGCCCCCUAGUUAUUAACUUCUCCCCAAUUUAUAAAGAACUAGCCAAAAUCAAGUUACCCUACUUAAUUCUGAGCCUAUCCUCCACUCUUCUCUUUUUUCUGUCCCUACUGAUUACUAAGUCCAUCACCAACAACUUAUGUUGAUUCGUAAGAUUCUCCGUAGGUAAGACUUUAUAGUCUCUACAAAUCUCUCUUUCACCCUUCCUAAUUAGCAAAAAGUCUAUUCGUGUCUUGGCCACCAAACUUCAAAAAGUAAUAAGGUGCUCCUCCAUCUUUAGAAAGCUAGAAUUUACCACUCACAACCCAAAAGUCCUAGGAAAAUAAAAAAGAGAAGCUCCUCAUUCAUUUCGUUCCCCAAAAUCAAAACCUUCAUGCACAUCUUCAUAACAUCUCGAUAAAGACAAAAUAUGCCUAUUUAAAUCCCCUCCAACGAAAAGCAUCAUCUCCGUGCUUAGAACUCCUUUGACCACCUCAUCCACACCCUCAUAAAAGUUCCUCUUCUCCUCCUCAUCCAGUCCUGCUUGUGGAGCGUAGGCACUAAUAACAAUCAAAGUAGACCCUCCAAUGACCAAUCUAAUCAAAAUCAACCUAUAGUUAACCGCUUAAACUCCACAACAUGCCCCUUAAGCUCUUCAUCUACUAAGAUACCUACUCUAUUCUUAUGCCUCAUGAUACUCGAGUAUCACAACUUAUACCUGUCCACAUCCCUCGCCUUAGAGACUACCCAUUUAGUUUUCUGGUCACAAGCUAUACUAAUCCUCCCUUUCCUAAGAAUCUUCACGAGCUCUAUGGACUUACCUUGAAGAGUCCCUAUGCUCCAAGACCCAAUUCUCAACUUGGAAUCUCCCUCAGCCCACCUAACCCAACUACCCCUAACUCGCAACCCCUAACUCGAUCCUAGACACACCCCUAACCCAUUCCCAGACCUAAACCCUGUCCUCACCCUAUACCCUAAUCUCUACCCCAAACCCAACCCCGAUCUAGAACAUGACCCUACUUUACCAUUUUCCACCAAAAUCACUACUCAAAAGGAUCGAGAAAAAAAUGAGCAAAUAGGUUGGGCUAAAAAUGAAAUAGGAAAUGCUAAAAAGACACAAAGGUAACAAUGAGAAAACUCUACAGGAAAAAAUCAAGAAACAACCACGUAUGCCCAGGACCAUAAAAACAAUAAAUUAUAACAAAAGUUUGACAAACAACAAUCAAUAACAAGAACUAUACAAGUCAGAAUAACUCUGUUCACCUUUAGAAAGUAACCUCAACACAAGCAAAGAAUACCAAAACAUACCACACAGUAAAUAGAUAUACUAGUCUCAACUAACUCCUACUCUAUAAUAGAGAAAUAGGAACGGAUAAUCCACAAAAACAGUCAAGAUAAAUAACAAGAAAUCAAGAGAGAAAGGACUGAAAAAUAUGUAUCCGCCUUUAAUUAAUUAGGAACCUAGACCAGAUAAACUAGAAGAGAUAAAACUAGUGCACCUGAUCCUAUGAGAGGAUGAAGUGAGGAUGUUUUCAUGAUCUUUUCGUCGGAUUCGAGCAAGUUGGUGGAGAAAUAGGUCGCCAGAAUGUUGCUGCCACCGCCUUUACCUACGACUGAUAUCGGCCCUAAACAUGAACGUCAAAAAAUAAAUUUGGUUACCAAAAAUGUAUGUUGCGAUAUAUCGAAAAACCCUAGUUUCGGAGUAUUUCCGCCAGAGCUUCACUAGAAGGCCUUUGGAAAAUAGAUCUGGGUUACCAUUGUUGCUUGGUCAUUUCUGGAUCAUCAAUUUCGACAGAGGAAUUACUUUUUAUCUGACUAAAAAAUAUGGGGUAUCGGCGGAGAUGGUGGUAACCAGUUGGAGAAAAGGGCGGAGAGAGAGAAUGAAUAGGAAAGAGAAAUGGGUUGAAAAGAUCUGAUAGAAUAUUACCGUACCUACCUCCGGCUAGAGUGAUAGCGCCAGACUCAACUGUUGACCGCCGACACUCGUUAAGGAGCAUUACAGAGAGAUGUUUAAAGAGAGAGAUGUCAGAGAGUGAGAGAGAGAGGAUGCUUAAUUAGUAAUAAAUGAGUUGAGUCAUUAUAAAAUCCAAGAUCUUGAGAGGAAGAAAAAUGUUGAGAAUUUAUUUAUUAAAUAGAGAACUCAAAGGCGUACCUUCCCAUCCUGCACAUCCACAUUUACUUAGCAUGUAAUGCACAUUAAAUAUUUUCUUUCUGUUUUUGGGUAAGUACGAUCAACAUAUAUAGGAUAAGAUAAAAAUAAUAUCUAGUAAUUUCAUCUCCCUUUUUUCUUAAGAUUUUCAAAAGUUUAAUCUCUCUCCCGCGCUCAACCACAUAAAUCCAUAUUCGCAAUACUAAUAAGUUUUAAGGUUCAAUUGUUUGAUCUAUAUAAAAAAUUAUAUGUAGUUUGUUAAAAAAUGAAAAUGAACUAGAAGUACAAAAAGCCUAAGAAAUUCAAAGAUGUUCUUAUAAAAAAAAGAUAAUGAUAUUUUGUGAGACGGGAGUGUAGGGGCCUUAGCGAAAACAAUAUCUAAAAAUGGAGAAAAUAGCUUAGUGAAAUAACAAUUUGAGUGGGUAGAAAAUUCAAGAACAUGAGUUGAAAAAAAUGACGAGAAUUUGUUUACUACAUAGAAAAACUCAAAGGCGAACCUACCCAUCCUGCACACCCACUAUCACUUAGAAUGUAAUGCACAUUACAUAUUUUUCUUUCUAUUUUAGGGUGAGUACGAUUGACAUAUACUGGAGAAGAUAAAAAUAGUAUCAAGUAAUUUCGUGUACCUUUUUGCUUAGGAUUUUCAAAAUUGUUAUCCACCCCCUUACCCCCAACUACAUGCAUCCAUAUUCAAGAUACUAAUAAGUCUUAAGGUCUAAUAGUCAUAUCUAUAUAAGAAAUUAUAUCUAGUUAGUUACAAAAUGAAAAAGGGAUAAAAGAAAGAAACCAUAAGCAAUUCAAAGAUGUACUUUUAAAAAAGCUAUUGAUAUUUUGAGAGAGGAGAGUGGAGGGGCCUUACCAAGAACAACAUCAUAAAAUGGAGAAAAUAGCUUAGUAACAAAUGAUUUGAGUGCGCGGAAAAUUCAAGACCUUGAGAUUAAGAAAAAAGAUGAGAAUUUGUUUAUUAUAUAGAGAAACUCAAAAGCGUACCUACCCAUCCUACACAUCCACAUUCACUUAGCAUGUAAUGCACAUUUAAUAUUUUCUUUCUGUUUUAGGAUGAGUAUGAUUGACAUAUAGGGGAGUUAAAAAUAAUAUCAAGUAAUUUCGUCUAACUUUUUGCUUAGGAUUUUCGAAAGUUUAAACUCCUCUGCCCUCCCCCCCCCCCCCCCCCCUGCUUAACCACAUACAUCCAUAUUCGCAAUACUAAUAAAUCUUAAGGUCCAAUUGUCUGAUCUAUAUAAAAAAUUAUAUCUAGUUAGUCACAAAAUGAAAGUGGAAUAGAUGUAAGAAAAGCUUGAGAAAUUCAAAUAUGUACUUAUAAAAAAGCUAAUGAUAUUUUGUGAGAGGGCAGUGGACGGGCCUUAGCGAAAACAAUAUCUAAAAAUGGAGAAAAUAUCUUAGUAAGAAAAUGAUUUGAGCGGGUGGUAAAUUCAAGACCAUGAGAUGAGGAAAAAUGACGAGAAUUUGUUUAUUAUAUAGAAAAACUCAAAGGCGUACCUACCCAUCAUGAACACCCACAUCCACUUAGUAUGUCAUGCACAUUAAAUAUUUUCUUUCUAUUUUAGGGUGUACCGAUAUGCAUAUACUGGAGAAGAUAAAGAUAAUAUCAAGUAAUUUCGUGUACCUUUUUACCUAGGAUUUUCAUGAGUCUAAUCUCUUCUCCCCCCCUCCCCCCCAACUACACACAUUCAUAUUCGCGAUACUAAAAUGUCUUAAGGUCAAAUAGUCAGAUCUAUAUGAAAAACUUUAUGUAGUUAGUUACAACAUAACAAUGGAUUAGAAGUAAGAAAACCUUAGAAAAUUCAAAGAUGUACUUAUAAAAAAAUAUAAUGAUAUUUUGUAAGAGGGGAGUGGGGGGACCUUAGAGAAAACAACAACAACAACAUACCUGGUGUAUUCCUACAUAAUGGGGUCUGCGAAGGGUAAAGUGUACGCAGACCACACCACUACCUCAAUUAAGUUGAAAGGCUAUUUCUGAUAAACCACCAGCUCAGGACAGAUACUAGUAUAAAAAACAUAAAGCACAAAAGCAUAAAAGCAUAAAAACUAAUAUAGUAUGCAAAACAAACUAACACUGUGAUCUAAUACAAGAAACUAUACAACCACAAGAUAAUAGUAUAAACUAUCUAUACGAACAAGAAAAUCCGGACGCAAACAAAGUACUCCCUCUACUAUUAUGGGUGCACUCCUACCCUUAACUCUCUACCCUAAUCCACAUCCUCCACACCUUCCUAUCAAGAUUCAUGUCCUCUGUAAGCUGUAACUGCUCCAUAUCAUCCCUAAUCACCUUUCUCCAAUAUUUCUUUGUCCUACCUCUACUCUGCCUAAACCAUCCAUAGCCAGCGUCUCAUACCUCCAUACUAUAGAAUCUGAGCCCCUCUUUAUUAUGUGUUCGAGCCAAUAUAACCUCACUUCUCGUAUCUUAUCCUCCACUAAAGCCAAUUUCACCUUCACCUGAAUAAUCCCAUUCCUAACCUUAUCUAUUUUGGUAAGGCGACACAUCCAUCGUAACAUCCUCAUCUUUGCUACCUUUAAAUUUUAGAUGUGGGAGUUCUUAACUGGCCAACACUCUACUCCAUACAAUAUAGUCGGUCAAACUGGCACUUUGUAGAACUUAGCUCUGAGCUUCAAAGGUACCUUUUUAUUACACAAGACUCCCAAAGAGAGCCUCCAUUUCAACAACCCUACACCAAUAUAGUGCAUGACAUCCUUGUUAAUCUCACCAUUACCCUGCAUCAUAAACCCAGUGUAACGACCCGGAAAAUGGGUCCCAGAGCAUCACACGGUGCUUGAGGCUACAAGUAUCCCCAAGCUAAUCCUUUGAGCCAUUUUCAUUGAGUUCAACACAAAUCAAUGGGGUUUUCAUAAAUAACCCUCAAAUAUCAACAGAGUAAUCAUCAGCCAAGAAUAAAAGAAUUUCAUAAAGAUAACAAAAUACGACUUAUUAGUCUACUCCCAACAUCUAUACUAGUCUGACAAGCCUCUAAGAAAAUCAAUAAAACCAGCGAUCCAUUGAGACAUGCCCCAACUGACUCAUACUCAGUUGUCAAAUGUAAAUAAUUUUGUGAAACGAACAUCAGACAUUACGUCCUCGAAAUAUGUGGACUCACCACAACAGAGGAUGUAGAACAGCAUGCCCAAAGAAUCACUGUCGAACCUGGAACUGAGCACCUGAACCUACAUUCAGAGAAAAUGCAGCCCACAUCCGAAGAUGUGAGUCAGUACCAUGGAAAGGAACCCAGUAUAUAGGGGUGUAUGCAGUUGUAUAAACAUCAUCAUCAUAAAUAUUUAUAAGAAAUAUGCAGGAUGUAUGAAAGACUCACAUAGCCCGAAAAAAAUCAUCAUAAUCAUGAGAGGAUGAAAUAAGUACAAUAACACAUGUGAGUCAUCAUAUAAUUUGUCAAUCACUUUCAGUUCAUCAAGAAUAUCAAUUCUCAUAAUGUAAAUAUCACUUAAAUCUUUCGAAAGAAUAACUUUCACAAUUCAACUUUCAAAUCACUUCACCAUUCACCAUAGACACAAGAAAACACACAUACACUGGGAGAUCCUAUAACCAACAUAAACCAUGUGAGCUAUAUGGAGUCCAACGUAUAACCCAUGUUGGGGAGAGCCUUCCUUUCCUUGCCAUCGGAGUAGGACUAUCGAUAUCAAAUCCACACAAACUAGUGAUCACUAUAUAAAUCAGCCUCAGACUCACUCCUACGGGGGCACGUAGUUCUAGGGAAGUAAGGUCGCUUUAUACCUCCCACUCGGUGCUAAAUAUUUCUUCCGGACUUAGCUCAGAUCAUUUCAAAGACAAUCCACAACAAAACAAUUUCAAUAAUAUAUAAAUAUACAUCGGGAGCCAUCAUGCUUCCAAUCUAUCAAAANNNNNNNNNNNNNNNNNNNNNNNNNNNNNNNNNNNNNNNNNNNNNNNNNNNNNNNNNNNNNNNNNNNNNNNNNNNNNNNNNNNNNNNNNNNNNNNNNAAAUUUGUAAAAAUCAAAUAAAAAUCAUGCCUUUGUAAAGAAAAUUACUUUUGGGCACAAGAAUGAAAGAGAGUUCUUGUUGAAAAACCCCACAUACCUUGAAUGAUGAACUUUAGAUCGAUACUCAUUUUUGAGAUGUUAAUCGUGCCUUUGAAUGAUGGUUCUUGGAGUUCUUGAACUAGGAACUUGGAAUCUUGAAUAAAUUUGCAGAAUUAAUGGUGAACUUUGGAGGUUCUUGAAGUUGGAUGUAGGAGCUUAAGGUUUCUUUUUGAGGAGUUUGAUGAAAUAUAACAUAUAAUACUUUUAAUAGGCUUUAAUAUAGGGUUUGGAUGGAUUUUGGGUGAGGGGGAAUGACCAAAACGCCCCUAAAAAUCAAAAAAAUUCUCGAAUCUGUCCUUUGGUGGUCUGUUUUGAUAGUCUGAAGUAGAUCAACCAUAACGUUUUACUCCGAUAUUCAAAUUGGAUGAAACCAAUUUCAUUAGAAAUAGGACUCUCAUAUCUUUCCAUUGAUAUAUAGUAUCUCACCCAUAUCAUUGUGUACGAGGAUUUAUGAUCGUUUGAAGUUGACCAAAAAAUUCACUUUUGUUAGGCUGAAGUAGAUCGACCAUAACUUUUUGCUCCGAUAGAAAAAUUGUAUAAAACCAAUUUCAUUGGAAAGAGCACUCGCAGAGCUUUUCGUUGAUAUAUAGUAGAUCACCCAGAUCAUUAUGUACAAGGAGUUAUGAUCUUUUAAACUUGGAGCAAAAAUAUGCCAGAUCUCAGUACUUUUUCCUGCACGUUUUCUGUGCACUACUAUUCAAAACCAAUUUCAUUGGAAAGAGCACUCGCAGAGCUUUUCGUUGAUAUAUAGUAGAUCACCCAGAUCAUUAUGUACAAGGAGUUAUGAUCUUUUAAACUUGGAGCAAAAAUAUGCCAGAUCUCAGUACUUUUUCCUGCACGUUUUCUGUGCACUACUAUUCACGGUUCGAUCGGAAUGUUCAUAACUCAUCGCUCAGGUGUCCUUUUUGGAUGAUCCACAUAUCGUUGGAAAGAUUAUUUGAUUCUCUAUGGAAUGGUGGAUCAUAAUCUAAGACAUUUCGUACAGAAUAUUCAUAAUUCAUUCUAGAAGAUAGAACCCAACACGUUUAUGCAUAAAAUUUCAACGAAAAAUUUCCCGGGGUAUUACAUCAUCCCCCCCUUGGAAACAUUCAUCCUCGAAUGACGCUAUACAUGCCAAGAUUAGAUAGGGAAUAGAGCAUACAGCUGAAACCAUUCGUUAGACUCAUCACCAUAUCGUUUUUCACUCCGAAUGCAACAUAGAAUGCAUAAAUUCAAGAAACUACAGCUGAACACAUAAUAAAUGACAACUGAACUACUACAACUUUUAUCAAAAGUGAAUGAUUUAGGAAAGAACGGUAUAGCUUGAUCGGAGUUCACAAAAAAUAGGUGCGGGUACUUGGAUCGCAUAUCCACCUCAGCUUCCUAAGUUGCACCCUCUACAGAUUGGUUUCGCCACAACACCUUGACCAAGGGAACUUCUUUGUUCCUUAGUCUUAAGACACUGAAAUCAAGAAUCUCAAUAGGAAUCUCAUCAAAAGAAAUAUUUUCUUGAAUGUAAGCACUCACAGAAGAAUCCACUACCACAGCAUCGCUAAUAUGCUUUCUAAGCAUGGAGACAUGGAAUAUUGGAUGAACAGAGGACCACUCGGAAGGCAACUCGACUUCAUAAGCUACCUUACCAACACGGCUAAGAAUUUUGUGAGGACCAACAUAAUGGGGACUAAGCUUCCCCUUCUUUCCGAAUCUCUUCACCCCCCUCAUGGGUGAAAUUUUCAGAUACACUAGAUCACCAACUUCAAACUCAAGGUUUCUCCUUCUAACGUCCGCAAAUGAUUUCUGAUAAUCCUCAGCAGUAUAUGAAGUAUGAACAGGCAAGAAAUGAGCAAACUUAGUCAACCUAUCAAUCACAAUCCAAAUGGAAUCAUGAUGGCGUCGAGAAGGAGGUAAACAAAUCACGAAGUCCACAUUUAUCUCUUCCCCUUUCCAGGUGGGAAUACUAAACUCUUGCAUCAUACCACCAGGCCUUUGGUGUUCAACCUUAACCUGUUGGCAUGUUGCACACUUAUCUACAAAUGCUGCUAUAUCUUUCUUCAUGCCACUCCACCAAUAGAUUUCCCACAAGUCUCGGUACAUCUUGGUCGCACCAGGAUGAAUAGAAUAUCGCACCCCGUGUGCUUCAGCCAUAAUCCUCUNNNNNNNNNNNNAUCAACAUUCAGGACACACAAUCUACCCUGCAAUCUCAACACACCAUCUCCCCCUUGGGAGAAAACCUCUACUUUUUGGUCCUUGACUGACUCCUUCCAUCUGACCAAACUAGCAUCUAAGUAUUACUUUUCCUUCAGUUUCGAAACUAAGGAGGAUUUGGAACAACUCUGAACCCCUAUACUACCUUCAGCAAAGUCAAACAACCUUAGAAGCAUAAGCUAUCACCUUACCCUUCUGCAUUAAUACGCAACCCAACCUAACUCUCAAAGCAUCACAGUACACCAUAAAACCAUCAACACCAUCAGGCAAAGUAAAAAAAGGUGCUGAAGUGAGUCGAGCCUUCAACUCCUAAAAACUCUUCUCAUAAGAUUCGGACCACAAGAACUUCACUUUCUUUUGGGUCAACCAAUCAUAGAAGACACUAUAGAGGAGAAACCCUCAACAAAACGGAAGUAAUAGCCAACUAAACCCAAGAAACUUCAGAUAUCAGUCGGAGAAAUAGGUCUAGGCCAAUAUCUAACAGCUUCGGUCUUUUGGGGAUCAACUCUAAUACCCUCAGAAGAAAUGGUAUGACCAAAAAAGCAACUGACCUUAGCCAAAACUCACACUUACUGAACUUGGUAAACAACUUGUGAUCUCUAAGGGUUUGCAAGACAGUUCAAAGAUGAUCAGAAUGUUCAUCCUUACUAUGGGAUUACACCAGUAUAUCAUCGAUGAACACUAUGACAAACAUAUCCAGAUAUAAUCUGAACACUCGAUUCAUGAGGUCCGUGAAAGAUGCUGGGGCAUUAGUUAACCCGAAAGACAUAACAAGAAACUUAAAACGGCCAUAAUGAGUUCGAAAAGCAGUUUUUGGGAUGUCACACUCCCUAACUUUGAGUUGAUGAUAGCCGAAACGAAGGUCUAUCUUUGAGAAAUAACUUGCACCUUGCAAUUGGUCAAACAAAUCAUCUAUUCUUGGAAGGAGGUACUUAGUUUUGACGGUGACUUUAUUCAGUUGGCGGUAAUCAAUGCACAUACGCAAAGAGCCAUCUUUCUUUCUCACAAACAACAUAGGAGCACCCCAAGGAGAAACACUGGGCCUUAUGAAACCCUUAUCUAGUAGAUCUUUGAGUUGCUCUUUCAACUCCUUAAGUUCUGCAGGGGCUAUAUGGUAAAGAGAAAUAGGAAUAGGCUGAGUAUCAGGAAAAAGAUCAAUCCCGAACUCUAUCUCUCUAUCAGGAGGUAUCCCUGGAAGAUCAUCCAGAAUGACAUCAGAAAACUCAUUGACGAUGUUAACAGACUGGAGAGUUGGAGUCUCAGACUUAUUGUCUUUCACUCUAACCAAAUGAUAAAUAUACCCCUUGGAAAUAAGCUUUCUAGCUUUAAGGUAAGAGAUAAAAUGACUCUUGGGUGACACAGAAUUCCCAGACCACUCAAACACGGAUGCACCCAAAAACUAAAACUUGACCACUCGGGUCCGACAAUCAAUAAAGGCAUAAGAAGAAUACACCAGUCCAUACCCAGAAUCACAUCAAAAUCUACCAUGUCUAAAUCAAUCAGAUCAGCCAACAAGACUCUAUGAAGAACGGUAACAGGACACUUUUUAUACACUUUCUGAGCAACAAUCAAAUCACCAACUAAGGUAGAAACUAAGAUAGGCUUAGGAAUAAUCUCAGGACUCAUUUCAAAAUUCACAGCAAUCAAAGGUGUAACAUAUGAGAAACUGGAUCCAGGAUCCAACAAAGCAUACACAUCAAACUGAAAUAUACGAAGCAUACCAGUAACAACAUCGGGAGAGUCCUCUUAUUCCUGGUGAGACGGUAAAGCACAGAAUUUAUUCUGGCGCUGCCCGUCAGCAUUGCUAGAAUAGGCGCCCUGAGCAGGGGCUGGGCGAGUCACUAGAACUGGAGCACUAACAGUCUGAGUCUGGGUCUGAGGGCGAUAGUCACGACACCCUUGUCCGUCCUGUGGACAAUCUCUAACUCUGUGACCUAUGUCACCACACCUGAAACAACCCCUCUUCUCACCCCAACACUCACCCGAAUGAGCCCUACCAGACUUAGGACAUAGGGGACGAUUUGGCUUACUGCCAGCACUGUACUGGGACCUAGAUGCAUAUGACCUGGUACCUUACUCCUUCCUACGUCUAGGUAUAGGAGCACUAGUAGAUGAUGGUGCUGGCAUAGAUGAAUGAUCCUGAUACUGAGGGCGAUCCCUCCCUGUGAUCUAGUCUGACCCUGUUCAUGCUACUCGGACCUAGUGCUCUUAUUCCCUCUCAUUGUAUCUCUCUCCUUAAUCUUGUCUGCCUCAAUCUGUUGGGCAAGAGUCAUCAGCCUAGAAAGAUUCAUCUCACUACUUAGCAUAGCAGACCUACACUCCUUAACUAUGUAACUAGACACUUCAGUCACAAACUUACUCAUAUUAGCCCGAUUAUCAGCUACUAAUUCAGGAGCAUACUUGGCCAACUAAUUGAACUUUAGACAGUACUCCCUAACAGUCAUAGAGCCUUUCGUAGGUUCAUAAACUCUUCCACCUUCGCCUCCCUCAUCUCCAAAGGGAAAAACUUAUCCAGGAAUACAUCCUGGAACUCUUACCAAGUUGUAGGGAUAGCUCCCUUACCUCUACCUUUCCUCCAAGCAACAACCCAGUCAUAAGCAAUGUCUUUCAACCUAUAUGCAGCCAACUCCAUACUAUGUUUCUCAGAUACAUGCAUCACCUGAGUAAUCUUCCAUACUUCCUCUAAAAACAAUCGUGGAUCCUCAUCAGACUUGGACCCAUAGAAUUCCGAUGGAUUCAUCCACAUGAAGUCACGGAUCCUGGCAGCAGCUGAAUUACCUCCCUGCUGCUAUGGAGCCGGAGCCGGGUUGGCCUGAAUAUUUGAAGUAAUAGCUUAGGCCAGUGCCUGAAAGGCUACCCAAAAUUUAGCAUGAGACACAUUUUCAUUCAAUGGGUAGUGGGUUGAGGUUGCUGACCAUAAUUAUUUCUUCUCACUCGACGUGGAUGCAUGUUUCUGAAAGAGGAGAGUAUAAAUCAAUAGUAGAGUGAGACACUUUAAGCAUGAUAAACAUCUGAAAGAAAGAAUCACACUUUUUCCUAAAACAUCUUAUAGCCUCUUGCUCAUAGAUGUGGUGUGCUACACACCGAUGAUCAAGACUCUACUUAACGCGGCUUGUCAGACUCCCUAGGAUACCUUAAAAGCUUAGGCUCUGAUACCAAGUUUGUAACACCUCAAAAAAGGAGUCCUGGAGCGUCAUACGGUGCUUGAGGCUACGAGUAGCCCCAAGCUAAUCCUUUGAGCCAUUUUUUUUUCAGUUCAACACAAAUCAAAGGGUUUCCAUAAAUAACCCUCAAAUAUCAAUAGAGUAAUCAUCAUCCAAGAAUAAAAGAAUUUCAGAAAAGAUAACAAAAUAUGACUUAUUAAUCAACUCCUAAGAUCUAUACUACUCUGACAAGCUCUAAGAAAAUCAAUAAAACCAGCGAGCCAUUGAGACAUGCCCCAACUGACUCAUACUCAGUUAUCAAAUGUAAACAAUUCCGUGAAACCAAUAUCAGACAUCACGUCCUUGGAACAUAAGGACUCACCACAACAGAGGAUGUAGAACAGCGUGCCCAAAGAAUCACUAUCAAACCUGGAACUGAGCACCUGAACCUACAUUUCGAGAAAAUACAGCCCACAUCCGAAGAUGUAGGUCAUUACUAUGGAAAGGAACCAAGUAUAUAGGGGUGUAUGCAAUUGUAUAAACAUCAUCAUCAUAAAUAUUGAUAAGAAAUAUGCAGGAUGUAUGAAAGACUCACAUAUCCUGAAGAAAAUCAUCAUAAUCUUGAGAUGAUAAAAUAAGUACAAUAACACAUGUGAGUCAUCAUACAAUUUGUCAAUUACUUUCAGUUCAUCAAGAAUAUCAAUUCUCAUAAUGUAAAUGUCAUUUAAAUCUUUCAAAAGAAUAACUUUCACAAUUCCACUUUCAAAUCACUUCACCAUUCACCAGACAUAGGAAAUCACCAUUCACCAUAGACAUAGGAAACACACACACACUGGGAGAUCCUAUAACCGACAUAAACUAUGUGAGCUACUUGGAGUCCAAUAUACAACCCACAUUAGGGAGAGCCGUCCUAUCCUUUCCAUCGGAGUAGGACUAUCGAUAUCAAAUCCACACAAACUAGUGAUUACUAUAUAAAUCAGCCUCAAGGUCACUCCUAUGGGGGCGCAUAGUUCUAGGGAAGUAAGGUCACUUUAUACCUCCCACUUGGUGCUAAAGAUUUCUUUUGGACUUAGCUCAGAUCAUUUCAAAGACAAUCCACUACAAAAUAAUUUCAAUAAUAUAUAAAUAUACAUCGGGAACCAUCAUGCUUCCCAUCUAUCAAAAUCAACCACGUUGUGGAUUUCUUUGACACUCGAGUUCAAAACAACUCCAUUAAGACCAAAAGGUCAAAUCAUUCAAAAUAUCUCAAAUAUUCAACAUCAAUGUGCUUAUAACACAAACUUUCUAAAAAAAACACACAAUUUCCAAUGAGGAUUCACGACCCAAAUAUCAAAAUCAUGAUAAAUAUCAUUCCAGAUUCAUGCUUUAUAUCAUCACACAUUUAAAUUCAUCUUUCAAAAUUAUAAACAUCAAGAUUUCAUAAUAAUCAUCAUAAGAUAUGGUUUCAUGCUUUAAAUUCAUAAAAAUCAAAUAAAAAUCAUGCCUUUGUAAAGAAAAUUACUUUUGGGCACAAGAACGCAAGAAAGUUCUUGUUGAAAAAAUCCACAUACCUUGAAUGAUGAACUUUAGAUCGAUACUCAAAAUUCACUUUUGAUAGGCUGAAGUAGAUCGAUCAUAACUUUUGCUCUGAUAGACAAAUUGGAUGAAACCAAUUUCAUUAGAAAGAGAACUCUCAUAUAUUUCCAUUGAUAUAUAGUAUCUCACCCAGAUCAUUGUGUAUAAAGAGUUAUGAUCAUUUGAAGUUGACCCAAAAAUUCACUUUUGAUAGGCUGAAGUAGAUCGAUCAUAACUUUUGCUCUGAUAGACAAAUUGGAUGAAACCAAUUUCAUUAGAAAGAGAACUCUCAUAUAUUUCCAUUGAUAUAUAGUAUCUCACCCAGAUCAUUGUGUAUAAAGAGUUAUGAUCAUUUGAAGUUGACCCAAAAAUUCACUUUUGAUAGGCUGAAGUAGAUCGAUCAUAACUUUUGCUCUGAUAGACAAAUUGGAUGAAACCAAUUUCAUUGGAAAAAGGACUCGCAGAGCUUUCCGUUGAUAUAUAGUAGAUCACCCAGAUAAUUAUGUACAAGGAGUUAUGAUCGUUUAAUGUUGGAGCAAAAAUACGCCAGGCCUCAAUACUUUUUCCUGCCCAUUUUACUGUUCACUACUAUUCACGGUUCGAUUGGAAUGUUCAUAACUCAUCGCUCGGUUGUCCGUUUUGGUUGAUACACAUAUCGUUGGAAAUAUUAUUCAAUGCUCUAUGCAAUGGUGGGUCAUAAUCUAAGAUAUUUCACAUGGAAAAUUUAUAAUUCAUUCUAGAAGAUAGAACCCAACACGUUUACGCACAAAAUUUCAAUGAAAAAUUUCCCGGGGUAUUACACCCAGAUACUUGAAACUAUCCCUUUUAUGAAUAGCCUGAGAAUUAAGCUUCACUACCACAUUAGCCUCUUAUGAUGAAUCAUUGAACUUAUAUUCCAAGUUUUCUAUCUUGGUCACACUCAAUCGAAAUCCUUUAGACUUAAGGGUUCAUCUUCGAAUCACGACCUUAUCAUUAACUCCUCCUCGAGUCUCGUCAACCAGUACCAUAUCAUUAGUAAAUAACAUACACCAAGGCACCACUUCUUGAAUAUAUCACAUCAAAACAUCCAUCACCACGACAAAUAUAAAUGAGCUAAAAGUUUAUCCCUAUCAAAAUGGGAAAGUGCUCUGAAUCUCUACCUACCAUCCUCAUAUGAUUCUUUUUGCCAUCAUACAUGUCCUAAAUGACCUAAUGUACGCCACAGGCAACCCUCUAGCGUCAAAACACCUCCACAAAAUCUCCCUGGGGAAUGUCAUAUGCCUUCUCAAGAUCAAUAAAUACCAUGUGAAAUUCCUUCUUCCUCUUUCAGAACUACUCCACUAAUCUCCUCACUAGGUGAAUAGCCUCAGAAUUCGAGCGACCUGACAUGAAAUCGAACUGAUUCUCAAAGAUAGUUAGAAUCCUCCUCAACAUCAACUCUUCCACCCUUUUCCAAACCUUCAUAGUAUGAUUCAAUAACUUGAUACCCCAAUAGUUAUUGCAAUACUAAAUAACCCCCUUGUUUUUAUAUAACGGAAUCAUCGUGCUCCACCUCCAAGAUUUGGACAUCUUCACCGUCUUAAAAAUAAUGUUAAACAUCCUUAUCAACCACUCUAAACCUUCCCACCAAUGCUUUUAAAAAAAUCAAUUAAAAUCUCAUCUGGCCUAGUCACCCUGACCCUAUGCAUCCUGCUAAUAUACCCCUUGACAUCCUCAACCUUGAUACGCUUACAAUACUUAUAAUCAUGACACCUCUCAGAGUUUUCCAAGGCCCUCAUACGAAACCCUUUUUCCCUUCAUCAUUCAAAAAUUUAUGGAAAUAGGACUGCCGUUUCUUCCUAAUGAGGGCAUGCUCAACCAACAUUGUACCAUCCUCCUCUUUGAUUCACUUCACUUGGUAAAGGGCACGAUCCCUUUGCCACAUGGCCUUGGCAAGACUUUAUAUCUUUUUAUCCCCGCCUUUCUCCUCUAAAGCUGUAUAUAAGCUCCCAGAAGCUAUUGUCUUAGCCACCAUAACCACUAAAUUCUGCCUCUCCUCAUUAUCCUUUCUGUCAACCAGCUUAGCAUAAGCCACCUUCUUAGUCUCCAAGUUUCUCUUAACUUUUUCAUUCCACCACCAGUCCCCCCAGUGCUUUCUAAAUCAGCCUUUCUUGACACCCAACACAUCUUUACUAGUCUCCCUAAGGCAACUGGCUGUUGUUUCCCAUCCAUACCCUUUCUACUAUUCCAAGCCACUCUAGUCAUCAACUUUUCCCCAUUUCUAAAUCACUAGCUAAAAUCAAGCUAGCCCACUUAAUCUUGAGUCGAUCCUUCACUCUUUUUCAUUUUAUCCUUAUUGAUUAUUAGUCCAUCACCAACAACUUAUGUUGAGGCAAAAACUUUUUGCUAGGUAUGACUUUAAAGUCUCUACAAAUUGCUCUAUCACCCUUUCUAAUUAGCAAAAAAUCUAUUUGUGUCUUGGCCACCAAAAUACAAAAAGUAAUAAGGUGCUCCUCCCUCUUAGGGAAAUUCAAAUUUACUAUCCACAACCCAAAAUUCCUAGGAAUAUAAAAAAAAGAAGCUCAUCUUUCAUUUUGUUCCCCAUAAAUUGAAACCGUCAUGCACAUCAUCAUAGCCUCUCGAUAAAGACCGAAUAUGCUUAUUAAAAUCCCCUACAAUAACUAACAUCUUUGUUCUCCGAAUGUCUUUGACCACCUCAUCCAUAGCCUCCUAAAAGUUCUUCUUCUCCUCCUCAUCCGAUCCUGCUUGUGGAGUGUAGGUACUAAUAACGAUCAAAGUAAACCCUCCAAUGACCAAUCUAAUUGACAUCAACCAAUCAUUAAUUCACUUAACCUUCACCACCUGCCCCUUAAGUUCUUUAUCUACUAAGAUAUCUACUUCAUUCCUAUGUCUCACACUACCUGAGUACCACAACUUAUACUCGUCCCACAUCCCUCACCAUAGAGUCUACCCAUUUGGUUUCUUGGACACAAGCUAUACUAAUCCUCCUCUUCCUAAGAAUCUUCAUGAGCUUUAUGGACUUACCUUAAAGAGUCUUUAUGUUGUAAGACCCAAUUCUCAACUUGGAUUCUCCCUAACCCUACUACCCUUAACCUCUAACCCCAAACUCAAUCCUAGAUAUGCCCCUAACCUAUAACCCAGACCCUGCCCUUACCCUUGACCCUAAUCCUGGCCCCAACCUAUCCUUGAUCUAGAAUAGACGUCCUCCAUAGAUGCUACUUAAAAAGAGAUGAGAAAAAAACAUACAAAUUGGCAGGGCUAGAAAACAAAUAGGAAAGACUAAAAAGACACAAAGGGAAUAAUGAGAUAAAUCUAUAGGAAAAACCAAGAAACAACCAUGUACACCCAGGACCACAAAACCAAUAAACUAUAACACAAGUUUGACAAACAACAAUCAAUAACAAGAACUAUACCGGUCAUAACAACUCUGGUCAACUUUAGAAAGUAACCCCAAUACAAGUAGAAAAUACCAACACAUACAGUAGUAAAUAGAUAUACUAGUCUCAACUAACUCCUACUCAGUAAAAGAGGAAUAAAAACCAAUAAUCCCACUAGAGCAGUCAAGAUAACAGACAAUAAAUCAAGAGAGAAAGGACUAAGAAAUAGGUAUCAAAGAUGCAGGAUGUAUCCACCUUUAAUUAAUCAAGAACCUAGACCAGAUAAACUAGAAGAUAUGAAAUGAGUGCACCUAAUCCUAUGAGAAGAUAAAGUGAGGAUGUUUUCUUUCUCGUUUCAUCGGAUUCUGAAAAGUUGGUGGAGAAAUUGGUCGGAAGAAUAUUGCUGCCACUGCCUUUACUUACUAUUAAUAUUGACCCUGAACUUGAAUGUUAGAAAAUAAACUGGCCACUUAAAAGUGUACACCAUGAUCUGCCGGUAAAAUUUGGUGUCAGAGUACUACCUCUGUAUCUUCACUAGAAUGCCUUUGAAAAAUUGGAUUUGGGUUACCACUGUUUCUUGGUCAUUGCCGGAUCAUCGAUUCUAAUAGUGGAAUUAGUUUCUGUCUUGGUGAAAAAUAUGGGGUAUUGAUGGAGAUGGUAGUGACCAGUCAGAGAAGAGGCCAGAGAGAGAGAAGGAAUAGGAGAAAGAAAUAGGUUUAAGAUACUUGAGAGAACAUUACCUUACCUGCUACUGGCAAAAAUGAUAGUGACGGACUCAACUAUCGAUCGUUGAUGUUCGUAAAGGAAUGUUAUAGAGAUAUGUUUAAAGAGAGAGAGUCAGAGAGAGAGAAUGCUUAGUAAGAAUGAUUUGAGUGAAUGAAAAAUUCAAGAUCCUGAGAUGAAGAAAAAUGAUGAGAAUCUAUUUAUUAAAUAGAGUAACUUAAAGGUGUACCUACCCAUCCUGCACAUCCACAUUUACUUAGCAUGUAAUGCACAUUAAAUAUUUUAUUUCUAUUUUAGGGUGAGUACGCUUGACAUAUAUUGGAGAAGAUAAAAAUAAUAUCAAGUAAUUUUGUGUACCUUUUUGCUUAGGAUUUUCAAAAGCUUAAUCACUCCCCCACUCCCACCACAUGGAUCCAUAUUCGUGAUACAAAUAAGUCUUAAGGUCACAAACAGAUGCAAAUAUGUUUCAACAGAUGGUCCAUCUGUUCAAAGAACUCAAAACUCUUGCUAUUACUACUAGAUUACAAAUUUUUCCUUACGUCCAAUCAUCAACAUAUUUGUUGAGAAUAAGAAAUAGAUAGAAACAAUAAUUUUUUAUUAAACAAAAACAAAAUACAUUAGGUAGUUAGAUCGGAUAUAAAUAAAAAUAUAAAUAUAUACUCUAAAAGAAAAAACAUAACCUAAUUAUCAUCAUCAUCAUCAUUAUCAUCAUUAUUAUUGUCAGUUGUCCAAUCGACAACCGACAACAGCAGGGCUCUCCUCAACCUGCGAAACUCUCAGAGCAUCCUUACUCUCACAGCGCCCAACUCCCACUGCAGGUCGUUAACCCGCGUUUGAUGUUUUGCAAGGUGUCGCACAGAAUAGCAAUGUCCUCCAUAUCUAGAACAUGGAUGAAUUAACCAAAAACGUAAAACACAAGUAAAGAAAAGAGUUCAAAUGUAAUACAACGUGUAAUACCAAUUGAGUAGAUUUACAGAAAAAAAAAAAGAAAACAACUUACUGAGUCAGGGAAAAGGUAUCUGGUCUUUGAAGAGGAAGUGAUUGAAGAUGUAAUAUGAAAGACAAGAUGCAAGAAAUAAAUCGAGUGUAGUUGAAUGAACAAGUAAGAAGCAUCAAAUUUAUAGAGGAUUGAAUUUUAAUGAGUUAGUCAAAAAGGCAUGAUUGUUCACCUCCAUUUUAUUAAUUACAUUCAAACUGGUGACUUUUUUAUGAUUGCAAAAAGUUAUGACUUAAUUAAAUGAAGUUGCUGACUUUUUAAUUAUUGUGAUAGGUCAUAAAUUUUUAGCUUAUUAUUAUUAAUUAGUUUUUAAAUUUAAAUAACUUUUUUCUCAAUUAAAUAAUCAAAAACUUCUUACCUUUUCAAUAACCAUUUCUUUUAAUAAAAUAAUCCAAGUAUACAAAAGUUUGUGGAAAUAGACUGUAUAUCUGUUACAUCAGAUAACCCAUCUGUGGCAACAAAUAUACCAUCUGUUGCAAUAAUUCAACCAUCUAUUGCAACAUAUAAUCUAUCUGUUGCAACAUAUAAUCUAUCUGUUGUAAUAAUCAUCAUAUACUUUCAUUCAUCCAAAUUGGUUUUUAUUAUAUAAAUUAAAAAAAUAGAUUUAAAAACAAAAAUGGUGAAAAGUUAUUGCUUAUCGCUUAUUAAAUAUUAACAUCAAUUACUCAAAUUAAAUAACCAUAUUUUGACGAUUAUAAAUUGUGUUUAUUAUUUAUUUUCUUAUUAUUUUCUGUGAAAAGAAAUGACUUACUUAAAUCAAGAUGGUGAGUUUUUAAUUAUUGUGACAAGUUAUGACUUUUCAACUUAUUAUUAUUAAUUAGUUCUUAAAUUUAGAUAAUCUUUUUCUCAAUUAAAUAAUCGAAGACUUCUUACCUUUUCAAUAACCAUUUCUUUUAAUAAAAUAAUAACUGUUUUAUUGAGUUGUGACAAUAGAUUGUAUACUCUGUUGCAACAGAUUGUAUACUCUGUUGCAUCAGAUAACCCAUUUGUGGCAACAUAUAUACCGUCUAUUGCAAUAAAUUGACCAUCUAUUAAAGGAGAUUUUUUAAUUUCUUCUAACAACUGAUUCAUUAGUCUCAACAGAUGGAGAAUUUGAUUCAACAACUAUUUUGAAUGUGUUAGACCAAAAGUCAUGAUUGUUCACCUCUUUAUUGACAAUCAUCAUAUACCUUAAUUAAUCCAAAGUGGUGAGUUUUUUAUUAUAUAAUAAAUAAAUUUAAAAAUAGAUUUAAAACAAAAAUGAUGAAAAGACAUGACUUGUCGCCUAUUUAAUAUUAACAUCAAUUAUUAAAAUUAAAUAACUGUUUUUGUAUGGUUAUAAAUUGUGUUUAUUAUUAAUUUCCUUAUUAUUUAUUUAUCAACAGUUCUUCAUAUUAAAUAAUUGAAAAGUUAUGACUUUUCACCCUCUCAAUAACAGUAAUCCUUUUUUAUUAAGAACCGCCUAUUGCAAUAUAUGAUCCACCUGUCACAAUAGAUUAACCAUCUGUUGUAACAUAUAGUCCAUUCGUUGCAACAAACGCUCAAUCCCUACCUCACUGUCGAAAUGUUGAGAAUAAGAAGUAGAUAGAAUGAAAAUUAAGUAUUAAAUAAGAAUUAACAAUCAAAAGUUAACCAAACAUAGAUUUUUUAAAAUCCAUUAUAUACAAAUAUACAAUAAAAAACAAAACAUACAUUAGGUUCCUCCCUUAGGUAGACCCGAUAUAAUAAAAGAAAAUACAUACUCUAAAAGAAAAAAUAUAACCUAAUUAUUAUUAUUAUUUAAAAUAUUAUUAUCAACCAGUCAAUCGUCAUCUGGCAGCUACAGGGCCCUCUUCAGCCUUGCUCUUAUGUCACAUAACUUCGACUGGAGUUCAUGAAUCUGCCUUUCAAGUUUCCACAAGGAGUUGUGUAGAAUCACCUUUUCCAAUUCUGGAUCAGACAUAUCUAGAAAUGGAGUAGACUGAACGAGUAAGGAGGGACCUAGUUAUAAACGAUUGAAUUUGAAUGGGUUAGUCAAAAAUCCACGACUAUUCACCUCUUUUUUUAAUAAUUACAUCCCUUAAUUAAAUAAAACUGGUGACUUUUCGAAUAUGUAAAUUAAAAAACUUGAUCUAAUUACAACAUUUUAUCUUUAUUGUACUUCAAAACAAAAAGAGAAUUGCUUUAAAAUAAAUCUAAAAAAUGGGCAAUCCGUUGCAAAAUAUGUUCUACCGUUUGAUAAUUUACAACAUAUUUACAAUUUGUUGCAAUAGAUGUAUAUAUUUAUUUGAUUAUUUCCAGAAGAUAAGUUAUAUGUUGCAAUAGAUUGAUCAUUUUUUGUAACAUAUGUCUAUAAUUGUUUGAUAAUUUUAAUAGAUAUGUCAUCUGUUGCACCAGGUUAGUCAUCUGUCGCCAUAGAUGGGCUAGGAAGAAUAAGGUGCGUG